AAAAAACAAAUAAGCUGUCGAAGUGCAUUGUUUAACGAUGAAGAAAUACCAAGAAAAAUGCAUGUAUUAUGUAGUUCCAGCGAGAAACGACGAAGUAAAAGUAAAAUAAGUAAUAAUAUUUGCCGGCUUUCAAUCUAAUUUAAUAAUUCAGAAAUAAUUGAGACAUUUAACUAUAUCAAUACUAGAAAUUUUAAGGUUAUAAAUAGACAGAGAGAAUUCCUGUCAGCUCUCUGAAAGCAGUAUAAAAGGAAAAUACGUUCAAAUGUAAAAUGUUUAGACGGUUUACUAAACACAUUCACAAGUGUACAAGUAUUGAUAUGAGAUGAAUGAAUACACAGGAAAAAACAAUAA